GUGGGGAAUCUUGCACAAUGGGGGCAACCCUGAUGCAGCGACGCCGCGUGAGCGAUGAAGCCCUUCGGGGCGUAAAGCUCUUUCGACCGGAACGAUAAUGACGGUACCGGGAGAGGAAGCUGCGGCUAACUACGUGCCAGCAGCCGCGGUAAUACGUAGGCAGCAAGCGUUGUUCGGAGUUACUGGGCGUAAAGAGUGCGUAGGCGGUUUUCUAAGUUCGGUGUGAAAUCUCCCGGCUUAACUGGGAGGGUGCGCCGAAGACUGGGAAGCUGGAGUGUGGGAAAGGCAGGCGGAAUUCCUGGUGUAGCGGUGAAAUGCGUAGAUAUCAGGAGGAACACCGGCGGUGUAGACGGCUUGCUAGACCAUAACUGACGCUGAGGCACGAAAGCGUGGGUAGCAAACA
rnacentral:rRNA from 1 species